GAUGAACGCUAGCGGCAGGCUUAACACAUGCAAGUCGAGGGGCAGCAUGAGACGGAGAUUCGUCAAAGUCUUGAUGGCGACCGGCGCAAGGGUGCGUAACGCGUGAGCAACUUGCCCGUUUCUGGGGGAAUAACCGGUGGAAACGCCGACUAAUACCCCAUAGUAUGUUUUUAAGGCAUCUUUUGGAUUUGAAAGUUCAGGCGGUUAUGGAUGGGCAUGCGUUGUAUUAGCUAGAUGGUGAGGUAACGGCUCACCAUGGCUACGAUACAUAGGGGGACGUGAGAGGUUAACCCCCCACCACUGGUACUGAGACACGGACCAGACUCCUACGGGAGGGCAGCAGUGAGGAAUAUUGGUCGAAUAGGACGGCAAGUACUGAACCAGCCAUGCCGCGUGCAGGACGACGGC
rnacentral:rRNA from 1 species